rnacentral:rRNA from 1 species
UUCGCAAUGCCCGAAAGGGUGACGAAGCGACGCCGCGUGAGCGAAGAAGGCCCUAGGGUUGUAAAGCUCUGUCGGGGGUUAUGAAAUGUAGAUCGGUUAAUACCCGGUUUAUUUGACAAAGGCCCCAAAGGAAGCCACGGCUAACUCCGUGCCAGCAGCCGCGGUAAUACAGAGGUGGCGAGCGUUGUUCGGUAUUAUUGGGCGUAAGGAGCACGUAGGUGGUUUUGUAAGUCAGGUGUGAAAGCCUUCUGCUCAAAGGAAGAACGGCAUCUGAAACUGCAGAUCUUGAGUGUAGGAGGGGAGAGUGGAACUUCUGGUGGAGCGGUGAAAUGCGUAGAUAUCAGAAGGUACACCGGCGGCGAAGGCGACUCUCUGGCCCGUAACUGACGCUGAGUGUGCGAAAGCUAGGGGAGCAAACGGGAUUAGAUACCCCGGUAGUCCUAACUGUAAACGAUGGGCACUAAGUAGAGGGGUUUU